ACUGCAAGUUUUUUCAUCGCUGUAAGGUAAAACUUACAGAGGAAAGUCCGGGCAACACAGAGCAACUCGCCGCUUGAUAAAAGCGGGUAUUCGGUACCAUAUAUCGAAUAACAGAUAGUGCCACAGAAACCAGGUAGCCAAGAGGUAACACUCUGGGUGAUAGUGAAAAUGUGAGGUAAGAGCUCACAGGUAACAAUGGUAACAUUGCUACAUGGUAAACCUCGGGUGUUGAAAGGCCAAAUAGGCUGUAACCAUAAGGCGGCUCGUCUUUUCUUCGCAAGAAGAGUUACAGUGGGUAGGUCGCUAAGAUAAAUGAUGAAUAUAUUUUAUUUUGGGCAACCAAAUAAAAUGAAACAGAACCCGGCUUACAAACUUGCAUGGAAU
rnacentral:RNase_P_RNA from 1 species